rnacentral:rRNA from 1 species
UACGUAGGGGGCUAGCGUUAUCCGGAAUUACUGGGCGUAAUGGGUGCGUAGGUGGUUUCUUAAGUCAGAGGUGAAAGGCUACGGCUCAACCGUAGUAAGCCUUUGAAACUGGGGAACUUGAGUGCAGGAGAGGAGAGUGGAAUUCCUAGUGUAGCGGUGAAAUGCGUAGAUAUUAGGAAGAACACCAGUUGCGAAGGCGGCUCUCUGGACUGUAACUGACACUGAGGCACGAAAGCGUGGGGAGCAAACAGG